rnacentral:rRNA from 1 species
GAUGAACGCUGACAGAAUGCUUAACACAUGCAAGUCUUUGGCGAAGCUGUGCUUGCACAGCCUAGCCAAGGCGGACGGGUGAGUAACGCGUAAGGAACUUGCCCUGCAGUCAGGGAUAACAGACGGAAACGACUGAUAAGACCUGGUAAAGUCAGGCGGACUCAUGUCCAGCCUGAUGAAAAGAGAUGCUGCAGGAGAGCCUUGCGUCCUAUUAGCUUGUUGGUGGGGUAACGGCCCACCAAGGCGAUGAUAGGUAGCCGGCCUGAGAGGGUGGACGGCCACAAGGGGACUGAGAUACGGCCCUUACUCCUACGGGAGGCAGCAGUGGGGAAUAUUGGACAAUGGGGGCAACCCUGAUCCAGCAAUUCUGUGUGCACGAUGAAGGUUUUCGGAUUGUAAAGUGCUUUCAGCAGGGAAGAAAAAAAUGACGGUACCUGCAGAAGAAGCGACGGCUAAAUACGUU